rnacentral:lncRNA from 1 species
CGGAACUGCAGCUGUCUGCUGUUUAGUCCGGCAGGCAGCACGACACAUGCGCAUAGAAAUGCGGAAGUGGCUUUUUAACCGCUCUGUGUAGCUAAUCCGCCGCUCUCUAUUGUGAUUAGUCCUCCAGGUAAUAACGAGCAUGCGCCCGACAACUUAAAACCAGCAACUGUUUCUAAUAACCACUACGCGUGCGGGCAAGCAGUCGAUUCAUGGACCGCCGGCUCAGCGUUAUCCUCCUUCUAAACUAGGAUGCCCCUCAUCUAUUUCCGCCGUUUUAUGCCCGAACCCAUCCCGGGAACGGACCGGUUCGGCUCACAGCUGCCCCUGAGCACCUGGCGCCAUCCAAAUUGCUCGCCGCUGCGGUGGACCAGCAGACUUGCCCUUCCAGCCCCAGCCCUGCACCGUCCCCCGGCCGUUUAAAAGCACUCUCAGCAGUAGUGGAACCCGAGCAGCUCGGAGAUUCGCGGUCGUGAUACGGGUGUGAAGGGGAUCCGGCACUGCAGCAUCCCGGGACCCGCCAGUAUUGAGAAAACACUACGCGUGCGCAAGUCUCGAGAAAGCGCUACGCUAUGCGCCAGCCUCGGCGCCACACUGCGCAUGCGCCAGUCUCGAUGAGGUACUACGCAUGCGCAAGUCUCGGCAGCGCACUGUGCAUGCGGCACCCCGUACACACCAUUUCGCAAGCGCAUAUUCGGGUACACAUCUACGCAUGCGAUUUCUUCGGCUCCUCAUUACGCAUGCGACGGGCGCAGGGUCCGCUGGGAGCCAAAAUAGUCAGAUGCCGGGGCAGGCUCGGGCGCAAAACCACCCGAGAAAAUAGACGAGGGGCAUCCUGGAUGAAAAAAGAGAAAAGUUUUCUGGCGCAUGCAGACUACUCUCUGGAGGACUGAGCAUGACAAAGAUCGGCGGAUUUGGUGCGCAGAGCGACGAGAAUGUACGUGCACCACUUUCUCGUGCCUGCGCGCAUGCGUCCUGCUGCCUGCGGCACCGACCAUACACGGCCGCGAUUCCGCCGAUCGGCCAUGCGGGGGCGCCAAAGACCGCGGAAACAACAACAACGAGCGGGUUGACGCCGACCGGCAGCGCAGCCCCUGUUCUUGUUCUCGUGCGGGCAGAGGAGAAACGCGAAGUUAGGUGGGGAGUGAGGGGAGAAAAAAAAAUAAAAAAAGAUGAAUAAAACCAAGGAAAACAUCAAACAAAGCUCCUGAUUCUCAGCCUUCUCAGUCCUUUCUGAAAAUCCAGAGGCCUCCCUCUUGGCUCCACUGCUGGCCUGCAAAGCCCGAGCUUGCAGUCUGUUGAAAGUCCUUGUUACUAAAACUGCUGCUGGAAGGAAAACCUGAAAGUCUGGGGGAAUAUUUACCGGCACAUCAGAGCAGCUGAGACCCGAGGCCCGGAGCUCUUUGUGCUGACUGACUGCCACUGGCCUCAGUUCAUUCUGUUAGUCUCCCAGCAGUGCGUUUCCCACUCGUGAACCCUGGAGGUAGUGCCUUUUUUGCAGGCACGCGCUGCAGUGCUUUUUGCAGGCCGGAUGUUAGGAAGAAGUUAUUCUCACAAAGAGCGGCGCGGCGUUGGCACCGCAGCUGCCCCUCGGAGGUGCUGCAGAACAGCGCAGAUGUGGCGCCGAGCGCUGCCGUUCCGGGCCGCGGUACGAACGGGCUGCAGUUACCACGUGACCCCGCAGGUCUUUCCCAGCCGUAUCGACUCUCCCGCUCUGCCACUUGCAGCCACGCACGCCGCCCAUCACGGCACCCCCAACGCAGCCACGCCCCUUCGCCCUCAUUGGUCGGCACUGCCACACGCACCCCCUCCCUCCCCGCGCAGAGCGGCACGGUUGGGU